rnacentral:tRNA from 1 species
UUCUACAUAAACUAUUCCUUG